CCAAAGCCGAACAUGGCGGAGAAACCGAAACACACCAACUGACCGAGAGACGAGAAGCUGCACAUGUCCACCUGCUGCAGCCCGUGAACGAACGCAGCGCAAACCACAGAAGUAACUGGAAUGAAAAUAUAGCCAACCUCAUCGACCUCAUUUCACCAUCAAGAUCAUUCAGAAUGAUUCCAAGUGGCAGCACUGGUUUUACUGGUUUCUUUGGCGAAUUGGCAUCCAGCUGAGCUCUGAGGACCAGCGCGUG